rfam:Dipodomys ordii contig_58877, whole genome shotgun sequence.
GGGAAAGUGGCUCAGGGGUAGAGUGCUUGCCUUGCAUGCAUGAGGCCCUGGGUUCAAUUCCUCAGCACCA